rnacentral:miRNA from 1 species
UGAUGGUGUUUAUGACGUCGUAUAUCGACGUCAUAAACACCAAACUUUGGUGUUUAUGACGUCGUAUAUCGACGUCAUAAACACCAAACUUAA